AGUGAACGCUGGCGGUAGGCCUAACACAUGCAAGUCGAACGGCAGCACAGUAAGAGCUUGCUCUUACGGGUGGCGAGUGGCGGACGAGUGAGGAAUACAUCGGAAUCUACUUUUUCGUGGGGGAUAACGUAGGGAAACUUACGCUAAUACCGCAUACGACCUACGGGUGAAAGCAGGGGAUCUUCGGACCUUGCGCGAUUGAAUGAGCCGAUGUCGGAUUAGCUAGUUGGCGGGGUAAAGGCCCACCAAGGCGACGGUCCGUAGCUGGUCUGAGAGGAUGAUCCGCCACACUGGAACUGAGACACGGUCCAGACUCCUACGGGAGGCAGCAGUGGGGAAUAUUGGACAAUGGGCGCAAGCCUGAUCCAGCCAUACCGCGUGGGUGAAGAAGGCCUUCGGGUUGUAAAGCCCUUUUGUUGGGAAAGAAAAGCAGCAGGUUAAUACCCCGCUGUUCUGACGGUACCCAAAGAAUAAGCACCGGCUAACUUCGUG
rnacentral:rRNA from 1 species